UCCCAAGUGCUGGGAUUAAAGGUACACGCUCCCACUACCCAACUUUUUGACUUUUAAAAAGUCAAAAAAGACUAGAUUCUGAAAACAGUGUGUCCAGUGCUGGAGGAGAUGGAGGGAAUGAUCACGAUGCUGACAGAUAACCAACUGCCCUGUGAUAUAGACCAGGAGCCUCUGAAGAGGGAAGCCACAUGGCACAACUCCAUGUGCCCUGCUCCAAGAAAGAAGAAGGCAUAACCAAGUCCACAGGGUAACUGAGAGUCCGAGGAUCAGAAGUAGUGGUGAGGUGAGGGAGCGAGGGCUGAGGGGCAGCAGUCAUGAUCCAGAGGGCGCAGGCAAUGGAAGCAUCAAGAGUUGAAGCUGUGUUCUAUGAUUUGUGAGGAAAAUUCCCGGUUCAGCUUCAAGAACUGAAACCAAGGGCUGGGGAGUAAGGCCGGUGGGUAAAGGUGCAGCCAUGAGGACCUGUGUGUAGUGCACCAGCACCCACAUAAAAGCCAGGAAUUACAGUGCACAUCUGUAGCUCCAGAGUUAAAGAUUUGAGUGACCAUGCUCUGAAACACACAGCUCUUGGAACUCACUGGCCGGCCAGUCUAACCGACUGGAGAAGCCCAGUUUGAUGGGAGAGCCCGUCUGAAAAUGAGGUGAAGAGUAGUAGAAAAAGACAGCUGAUGUUGACAUCUGGCUUUGGCCAGCACUCCCAAAUGUGCCAUGUCCGCCCCCUCCACACACAUAGAUGUGCACCCACCCCCACACACACACACAUACACACACACACACACACACAUAUAUAGUUGAAAGUGACAACAUAUCAGAAGCAAGGAACUACAGGUGACAGAUAUGGAGGGGCACUGGAGACACAACUCCUUAAGGAUGCGUAACUUUAAUUACAAAGUAAAACUAGCUAGAAUAGCAUGUUACUUUGACCAUGUUUUGAAAUUCUGCUGGCAAGAAGGCUUGGUAAAGUUACAUUAUGCAGCCCAUGACACCUGGAACAAUGACCCUGUGGCCUAAUUAUGGAUGGGAGACUAGACAAAGACUCUCAGAGCCCGAGAUGGGUUUUCCCGCAUGAACUCAGAGAUGCUGCUGGGGAGGGAGUCUUUUAUCCAGGACAUUGCUUUCUGAGAGACAAAGCACAAUUCUCCUUCCUUCCUCCCAUCCCUUCCCACGCGUGCUUAUGGCUUGCUACCAGACUGGCCUCUUAACCUCUGAGUAGGACCACAGCCUGCAGCUUCAAACUAUGUCCUCAGACUCUUGCGUUCCACAAAAGCUACUUGGGAUGACUGGCAGGUGACCCACACUCAAGCUGACUUCAGUCAUUAAAUAUGUUUUUCAAAGUUUGGCAUUUUGGAGUUGUGGCAGUUACUAUUGAUGGAACCUAGAACCACCUAGGAGACAAACCUCUGGGCCCAUCUGUGAAGGAGGUUCUAGAUUGGGUUAAUAAAGACAGGAAGACACACCCUAAAUAUGGGCUGCACUAUUCUGUGGUGGUUUGCAAGAAAAUGGCCCCCAAAAGGAGUGGCACUGUUAGGAGGCGUGGCCUGCUGGAGAAAUUGUGUCACCAUUGGGGUGGGCUUGGGGGUGGCUUUUGCUCCAGCUUCCCUCAGUGUGACUUUCAGUUGACUUCCUGUUGCCUGCAAGACGGAGGACUCUCAGCUCCAGCACCACGUCUGCCUGCACACAGCUGUGCUCCCUGUCAUAAUGGACUGGACCUGUAAGCAAGCCACCCACCCCAGUUAAAUGUUUCCUUUAUAAGAGUUGCCAUAGUCCUGGUGUCUCCUCACGGCAACGGAAACCCUGAGAAAUAUUCUAUGCGCUGUCCUGAGCUGAAAAAAAAGGAGACAGUGAGUUGUGCACCAGCGUUCACCUCUUUCUGCUUCCUGACUGUGGAUGCCAUGUGAUCAGCUGCUCACACGCCUGCCACCGGAACUUCUCUGGCAUGACGUGCCUCUGAGAAAUCAGUCAACCGAAGCAAGGAGGAGAUGCUGAGCUGUCUAUGUGAGCUGGGUCAGGAGAUAAAAACAGCGACUGAAUUCAGAUUCAGUGAAGAGCAGAGGGAUCUUCAGUCAUCUAUACACUAACAACCAGUGCCCUUGGCAAAUAACCAGUGGUAUUCCAGGAAACAAAGUCAGACGGGAGUCUGGAAGGUGGUUCUCUAUGGCAACCUGUCCUACCGCUGAGAAGAAAUGCACAUCCCAGCCCUAUGUGUGAGGGAAGUUGACAGGACAAGGAGCUCAUACACACUCCUCAUGGCUGCUCCUGCACUGACUCUCCGCUGCUUAGUCAAAUUCUCCUCAAAGACUGACCCUCCUCAGUCUGCAGACUCCUGUUACAACUCAGAGCCUAGGCCACAGCUGCCCUCGUGGAGAAUUAAAGGAAGAUGGGAUGUAGAUCCAGAAAAAUGGACCUGAGCAGAUCGCUAACACUCAAAAAAACUUUCUUAAUUCAAGUUGAUAUGAUGUAAUUUCAUUUGAAGCCAGAAAAUCAUGUGCAGAGAAGUUGUCUCACAAAAAUAUUCCAAAACCUUGUCAGAAUACAAUGGAAUAUGCAUAAAUAAACAAAUAUUUUUUGAGUGUGUGGUUUUUCAAGA